GUGCCAGCCGCCGCGGUAAUACGUAUGGGGCAAGCGUUGUUCGGAGUUAUUGGGCGUAAAGGGCGUGUAGGCGGCUCAUCAAGUCUGGUGUGAAAUCCCUGGGCCUAACCCGGGGCAUGCGCUGGAAACUGGUGGGCUUGAGUUCUGGAGGGGAAGCUGGAAUUCCAGGUGUAGGGGUGAAAUCUGUAGAUAUCUGGAAGAACACCGGUGGCGAAGGCGAGCUUCUAUCCGAGGACUGACGCUGAGGCGCGAAAGCGUGGGGAGCAAACAGGAUUAGAUACCCCAGUAGUCC
rnacentral:rRNA from 1 species